AAGUUGGAUUCGCUAGUAAUCGCGCAUCAGCCAUGGCGCGGUGAAUACGUUCCCGGGCCUUGUACACACCGCCCGUCAAGCCAUGGGAGCCGGGGGCGCCUGAAGUCCGGGACCGCGAGGACCGGCCUAAGGCGAAACUGGUGACUGGGGCUAAGUCGUAACAAGGUAAC
rnacentral:rRNA from 1 species